rnacentral:tRNA from 1 species
GGACCCGUAGCUCAGCUGGAUAGAGCGUCGCCCUCCGAAGGCGAAGGUCACGCGUUCGAAUCGCGUCGGGUCCGCCA